UACGUAGGGGGCUAGCGUUGUUCGGAAUUACUGGGCGUAAAGCGCGCGCAGGCGGUCCUUUAAGUCGGGGGUGAAAGCCCAGAGCUCAACUCUGGAACUGCCUUCGAAACUAGAGGACUUGGGUACGGGAGAGGUGAGUGGAAUUCCGAGUGUAGAGGUGAAAUUCGUAGAUAUUCGGAAGAACACCAGUGGCGAAGGCGGCUCACUGGCCCGUUACCGACGCUCAGGCGCGACAGCGUGGGGAGCAAACAGGG
rnacentral:rRNA from 1 species